CACCAGCUGUGUGGUGUGUAAGAA
rnacentral:piRNA from 1 species